UAGCCUAUACAAAAAUUAUUUAAGAAGAUAGAGAAACAAAAGGAAAUAGUUGGGCAAUUAGGAACUAAAAGCUCUUCCCUUUAUACCUCUCUACACAAUGCAUACUGAAAGAAGUAAGACAGAUCAUAAACAUUUUCCAAUUCUUUCUACUGGUCCAAGUCCUAAAGUCUAACCAAGACUUAACGUUAAAUUCAGCUUAAACCACUGUGAUUGUCAGCAAGAACACUACCAUAUUUGUUGGAAAGCUGUUAAUUCCAAGCUAUCUCCACACCUUCUCCCAAACAAUAAAAUUAAUAUAUGUAAAACGCAGCACUUGACCCCCAGUUACACACACACACACACAACAUCUGCAGAAUUUUGGUAUGCAAUUUUACGUAGUAAGUAGUAAUACCAAAAAUCAAAGAUCCAGUCUUUUUAUAUUUUCCAAGAAGAUUGAAUCAAUGAAAAGAUGACAGCUUUACUACAGAGUACAGAGGCAGUGAAUUGACUGCUUCAAUAGGAGCAUUGGGGUUAAUGGCAACACAUGACUUCUGCUUGUUUACUAAUUGGCCAGAGACUUUUUCAUAAGUACUAAGAGUAUCCAUGAUCAUCUUUCAAGAAUUUCUGAUACCACUGGAGAAUAAGAUUUUGUCAUCAGCAAAAGCAAGAUGACUAAUAAGAGGUGCGUUCUUACUCAUAUGAAAACCUAAAAAACUACUAGAGUAAUAUAGUUUAUUAAGUUUCCUUGAAAGAAAUUCAGCACAAAGAAUAAAUAGAGAAGACGAAAUAGGAUCUCCCGGUCUUAAACCUCUUUUUGAUUUACCAAUGUCUUGAAUGAUUUCCUAGGCUAGCAAAAUAUUUUUAGUUAUAGCUCUCCCUUUUAUGAACCCACUCUGAUUAUCACUGAUCAGGUUAGGAAGUAAUUUAUUCAGCCUAGUGUUGAGAACCUUGGAAAAAAACUUACUCAGGACAUUGCAUAAACUAACAUGCCUUAUAUCAGUGAAAUGUUUAGGAGAAGGCACUUUGGGAAGCAUCAGGAUAUUUUUAAAAGGCCUUAUAUCAGUGUGGUUUGGGAUUAAAAGGCCCUUUACCACACAACUUGAAUCAGUUGUCAAAACAAGGAGGGCAAUUCUACUAUGGUAAGUAAAUCAUCACACAGAAUCGUUUAUUCUAGUGAUAAUUUUCAGAGGGAUGCAACUGUUAACUUUCAACGCGUUUGUGAUUUAGAAUGCAAACUGGAACAAAAGGAAAACAUUGAACUCGAACCCAAGAAGAAGUCCUUAGCCAAAAAGGUCACUGGUUUUCAGGUAUUUCUCUUUUGUAAAUUUACUAUUCUCAAGCUGCAAUCUUGAGUUGCAGGAGAUCUAUAUCUAAAAGCUGAACUUGUUCAUGUUCAGUGGCAAAAUCUUGAGGGAAAAGUUAUAAAUACACUUACAAGUCUCUUGCGAUGCUCCCCAACACUGAUAGAGCCACUUGUAUGAGUCCCAAUGGCAAUUUCGCUCCCACCACAAUAAUUUUUUUGCAUUUAUUUCUGACUUUUCAACACACUUAGGAUCUUUCCAAAGUCUCAACCAACUUUCCCACACAUUAUUUGGAAUAGUUUCCGGUUGCACCAUAUUUGCUUUUAGUUUGCUAACAAAAUCAUUGUAUCUUCUUGCUGCCCUACGCUCCCAUUGGAUCUGCACCACAC